ACUGUAUACGUUACAUCUUGCCUACUUGUACUAGGCUACUUCUUCCUCUUUUUACGAACCGCGAUGCACAAAUAGGGCCCCCGUCAUCUCUGUUUUCCUCUCUCUCCCUCUCUAAAAAUUGGUGGAAACGUGUCAUCAACAUUCUGCUCACCUACCCUUCUCUCUUUCUCUUAAUCAAAUUCUCCGUACUCGGGCCUCUCUUGCCAACAAUGCCGCACUGAAUUUCCCCAUGAGUCUCCCAUUGUCAAGUUCUCUACAUUGGGAACUCUCGUACUUGUUCAAAUAAUGGAUAUUCCCAUCUGGGUUUGCGCCAAUCAGCCUUGUACUCAAUUGGGUUUCAGAUAUUUGGGAUCUAGGCGUUGUGGGUCUGGUGGGUUUUUGAAAUUGGAUGGAGAAAAUCUUCGGAAAUGGGGGUGUUGUGGGGCUUUGUUGGCUCAAAGGGCUACGAAGCCUGUUGAGGAUGAGAAGCCAGUGGACUCACCUGGUGAGAAUAACCAGACCCAGGUUGCUCAUUUUAGUGGGUUCCAUAGAGAUUUGAACUCUCUUCCAAAAGCCUUAUCUGCCACUGAUCUUUCUUCUUCUCCUAGCGACGGUUCAAAGGUCCGGGUUGCUUAUCAGGGGGUACCAGGUGCAUACAGUGAGGUUGCCGCUCUUAAAGUAUACCCCAGAUGUGAGACUGUCCCAUGUGACCAGUUUGAGGCCGCAUUCAAGGCAGUUGAAUUGUGGUUAGUGGACAAAGCAGUACUACCUAUUGAGAAUUCUGUAGGUGGAAGCAUCCACCGAAAUUAUGACUUACUCCUUCGUCAUAGACUCAACAUAGUUGGGGAGGUGCAGAUGGUUGUUAAUCACUGCCUUUUGGGUUUGCGUGGAGUGAGGAAGGAGGAACUGAAGCGUGUUUUGAGCCACCCCCAGGCACUAGAUCAAUGUGAGAUGUCACUACACAAAUUAGGUGUUGUAAAAGUUAAUGCUGAUGAUACAGCGGGUGCCGCUCAGAUUGUAGCCGCUGAUGGCCUGAGAGAUACUGGAGCGGUUGCAAGUGCUCGAGCUGCAGAAAUUUAUGGGCUUGACAUCCUUGCUGAAAGAAUCCAGGAUGAUUCUGAUAAUGUUACUCGUUUUUUGAUACUUGCGAGAGAACCUAUAAUUCCAGGAAUAGACAAGCCCCAUAAGACAAGCAUUGUCUUUACUCUAGAAGAAGGCCCUGGGGUACUAUUCAAAGCCUUGGCAGUGUUUGCUCUGAGGGACAUUAAUUUGUCAAAGAUUGAGAGCCGGCCACAGAGAAAACGUCCGUUGAGGGUUGUUGAUGACUGUAAUAAAGGCAGUGCCAGCUUCUAUGGCAGAGCCCCGCGCUCAAUAUGCUCUGGGGCAUCUGCAGGAAUUUGCAAGAUUCCUUCGGGUCCUUGGUUGCUACCCCAUGGAUACAACUCUAUAGGAAACAGCUUUAUUCGAGACAAUCUUCAGAUUAUUCAUUGUUUUCUCAAGCUGCUGCAAGACAGACAUUUCAACCUUCUAGUCUGUACAUAUCGAACACAUUCAGUUGGUGGAAGAGAAUUUCUUCCUGUAUAUUCGAUGAAGUCGCCUCCAAAUGGGAUGGACUUCCGUACAUGGAUAUCUUUCCAUUUUUCUUUCCCCAUAUCCUUUUCAACUUCCUUCUGAUGGAGAGGGGUCUUGGCAUGUGAUGAUCUCUUGACUUCAUCGAUUCCCCGAUUGCAUCAGUUCGAUUCCACUUUGUGCCGAUUUCCUUCUGAUCUAAUCCCCCAUUGUUGCCCGCGAUCGAUGCUCAAUUCUGAAAAUCGCUCCCUUCAGAACGGUGUUCAACCCUAGAAGAGAAUAUAUGAACUUGCCAAGGACUCAUCCAGGAAGUAGCUGACUAGCUAGUACAUGAAAACUCUGCACAUCACCAGGAAAAAAAGAAAAAAAAAAAAAGAGGAUGCUCAUGCUAGACAUAAUACUCACCAAUUACGUACUGAAUUUGCAAAACCUUUUUAGUGCUUUAUAUGGAUCAUAACGUUUGCAAAAAGAAAGCGUUGAGUUGUGCUUUGUUCAAUCUUUCUCUUCAGUGUAUUUAUUCUCCAUCUCUCUCCUGCAAAAUUGAGCAUUAUUUUUGCAACAAUGCUAUGAACACUCCUACCGACUACUCCUCUCUCACAUAUGUGCGGGGCCCAUUAAUCGUGAGGCCCACAUAUAUGUGAGAGAGGAGUGGUCAGUAAGAGUGUUCCUAGACUUGUUGCUAUUUUCGUGCCAAUGAGGUCGUAAUCGGGUUUGCAAAGCACCACUCCAUUUUUGUUCAACCACUUUUUCCUCUUCCCAUAAUAAUGUGGUCACUAGUUGUACUUUUAUUUGAUCAAAUUUUACUUCGCAACGUACGAAGGUCUCGAAUUGAUUUCGUUAUACCAGUUUCAGUUACCCUCGUAACGGGGGUUCGAUUUUGCUGGUAAAAAUAAGAUGAUGUUUACGUAGGUAUAAGCUGUAAUGACAUUUUAACAAAUCUUUUUCAAUGACUCGUAGUGAAUCUUUUCAAACAUUGAGGAAAAUUCUAUAUUUACUCAAAUGUGUUUCAUUUUGCUUUAAGUACAUUCAAUACGUAACAAAUCCAGAACAAUCUAAUCAGAGAAGGCAAGAUGAACCCAUCAAGUCAUUUGGAGCCAUGUGGGAAAGAAUUUUAGCCAAAUUUUCCAUUGAUAUUUUAUAUCACCUCUUAUUAUCAAUUUUCUACCAAAACACUCUUCUAUCCAAAGCUUACCCAAAAAAAAAAAAAGAGAGAAUGUGUCAAAAUUCUCUAUAGCUCUAUGAACCGCUUAUCACCGUUAAUAAAAAAGACAAUCCUAAACCAAUGCAAGAACAUGUGUUUUAAGCGUCUGUGCCAGCAAUUAAUUUUAACAAGGCAUGUAAUUCUGCAGGAUAAAGUUUGCGGACUGAAUUACAAAUUCGGCUAAAAAAAAUUACAAAUUCAGGAUUACAAAUUCGGCUAAAAAAAAUUACAAAUUCAGGAUUACAAAUUCGGCUAAAAAAAAUUACAAAUUCGGGAAUGUGACCACGGUACAGUGUGGAGAUAUUGGACAACUCUAUUCCAUUAAUGUGGGAUAUAACUCAAUCUCUGUAAUGUGUGAUGUAGUAGGACACCGAGAGAAGUGUGAACCAAAAUGUCACGAGGAAACAUGGAAUAGGAUGGUAAACCUAAAUCACGAUUAUACAAAUGUCGUGGACACAGUCAGCAUUAAAGGAUAUGUCCAUCGCAGUUUAUCCAGUCAGGUAACCAAACGUGGACUAAAGAUACAAUAUUUUGUACCACCAUUCUCGUCAAAAAAUAAUAAUCUCGUUUCAUCUUCCAAAUGAAAGCCUAAAUAGCACACCACAUAUUUACAGAUCAACUAAAUUCGAGGAACAGAACCUGCUAAUAUGUGAAGAUUUGACGACUUCACUACAAAAUGCAACUGCAUCUUCUCACAGAACCACAAUUUCAACACUAAAAACAUAUCCAUAUAGAUAUUAUACUAGCCAGGUUUCAUAGUGUGCCAAGAGAAAGUACUUUAGGCAUAGGUCAUCUCACCAGACUAAAGCGUUUGAAACAGGGCAUACUAAACAUUAAUAACAGCAAAAACUAUCUUAUUCAUAUUAGUUAUUUUCGCUGAUUUUAAUGCCCCAAAAUAACACCGAUAGGCUUAUCUCACUACGCCUUACUCUUCUCUAGUUCCUUCAGAAAAUCUUGAUUGUCAACCAGAAC